GUAAACGAUGAGUGCUAAGUGUUGGAGGGUUUCCGCCCUUCAGUGCUGCAGCUAACGCAUUAAGCACUCCGCCUGGGGAGUACGACCGCAAGGUUGAAACUCAAAGGAAUUGACGGGGGCCCGCACAAGCGGUGGAGCAUGUGGUUUAAUUCGAAGCAACGCGAAGAACCUUACCAGGUCUUGACAUCCUUUGACCACUCUAGAGAUAGAGCUUCCCCUUCGGGGGCAAAGUGACAGGUGGUGCAUGGUUGUCGUCAGCUCGUGUCGUGAGAUGUUGGGUUAAGUCCCGCAACGAGCGCAACCCUUAUUGUUAGUUGCCAUCAUUUAGUUGGGCACUCUAGCAAGACUGCCGGUGACAAACCGGAGGAAGGUGGGGAUGACGUCAAAUCAUCAUGCCCCUUAUGACCUGGGCUACACACGUGCUACAAUGGGAAGUACAACGAGUCGCGAAGUCGCGAGGCUAAGCUAAUCUCUUAAAGCUUCUCUCAGUUCGGAUUGUAGGCUGCAACUCGCCUACAUGAAGCCGGAAUCGCUAGUAAUCGCGGAUCAGCACGCCGCGGUGAAUACGUUCCCGGGCCUUGUACACACCGCCCGUCACACCACGAGAGUUUGUAACACCCGAAGUCGGUGAGGUAACCUUUUUGGAGCCAGCCGCCUAAGGUGGGAUAGAUGAUUGGGGUGAAGUCGUAACAAGGUAACCAAGGGCGAAUUCGCGGCC
rnacentral:rRNA from 1 species